UCAGGUUCUGGCGCUGGGGUUCCGAAACUGGGGUUCUGAAACUGGUGGUGCUGCGGGUCUGCAGCUGGAUACUAUUGGGCGCUGGGGUUCUGAAACUGGUGGUGCUGCGGGUCUGCAGCUGGAUACUAUUGGCACUUCGUGGUUCCGUCAGCCGAGUCCUGACAGCACCGUCAUCUCUUUAUCUCUCUAGAAUGGAGUUGGGCAAUACGUCUCCAGCUCACUCAAUGAAGGUAUUCGGUUCGGUCUGGAAGUCACGGAAGAGGAGAGGAAGAAAUUUGAGGGUGAGUAUAAAUUAAAGUGUUGACCACUAUUUAACUCAACCAAAUAAUUAACGACACAUAACCUUGAACUUAAAACUAAGGCCGACAGAAGAAAAAAAAAAUCAGUUAUGACAAUUUCUGUCACAAAUAAAACGACUUUAUUCGUCAAAUAAGAGAGAGACGCUGAAACGAAAGGGCUGUUUCAUUGCACUUUGGUGUUUUGUGCUGGCAAGUGGGCCCCAUGAAGGUUAUGUUUGGUAUGCCUAUGCUUAUCUAGCCAUUUUAGUAUAUUUACAACUGUAUGUCUUAAUAUACACAAGGCAAUACAUUUCUACUUUAUUUCAUAGUCUUGUAAAGUGGUUAUACACGUUAGAGAGAGUGUGUGAGAGUGUGUGUGUGUGAGAGUGAGAGUGAGUGUGUGUGUGUGUGUGUGUGUGUGUGUGUGUGUGUGUGUGUGUGUGUGUGUGUGUGUGUGUGUGUGUGUGCGUGUGAGUGAGUGAAUUUUUGAAAUUCCCAAGUUCCCUUUAGAUGUUCAGACUAAGCUGGACAGAAAAGAAUGCAAUAUUUCUGCAUCAGAUCGAAUCAAAAAUCAUAAGAACACUGUAUGAAAGUAUUGCUCAGUUUAAGAUGCAAAUUCUUAAUAAUGGUGCCAAAGUAUUAAAGUUUUACACUAAAUUUGGUAUUUAAAUCACAUAUAAUGCUAAACUAACAUUCAAAUAUUUUUACAGGUAUCCAUCUAAUAAUUUCUGGUGACACGGUGAUAUGAGUUGUUCAUAUGAUAUAAGGGGAAUAUACACAGCAAAAACAGCCCAAAACAAAGAUGUCGUUGGAUUUUGAUGUGAGAGGAGAAGAGGAUGCCAUGUUGGAUGGCAUGAGGGUGACUAAACCAUAAGAGAAUUUGCAUUUUUAGUUAUUGAUUUCAAAGCAGCUCUCCUGAUGUUGCCAUCCUUGUUCAGGGAGAAACUUGAAAAUGUCAUCGUGCUUGGGGAGGUGCAUAUAUGGACCACUGUUUGUAUAUACAUUUUAUAAUGAAUCACCAUCGCCAUAUCCAACUCUUUAGCUACAAGAGGUCACUGACUGGAAGUCUGUGUUUACACGAAAAGUCACUGCAGUGGUCAGCGCUGAUGGGUUGGAGAUCUGCAGGGCUAGCGGUGUGGAUUGAGGGGCUCUUGCUGCAUUUUGUUCUUACUUUAUCUUCAACCUCGCAUAUCCAUCUCACUUAAAGAAUACUCUGAUAUUUCUUCAGCGGUAUGUUCUGAAACUUGCUUUGGAUGGUGACAAGCCUCUGCCUACUCCUGUGACCAGAGUCAUUAACCACUAUAAUAAGAUCUACCAAAAAUGCCUCACCCAUUCUGUUGUCCAAAAUGUUCUCGGAGAGCAUUCACACGUGUUAAAUUUAUCCAACACAUAGGUCUUGUUCAUGCAAAUGAGCAACAUUUUCAGUAAUUAUUUUUCAUAUUGUGUGAAAUGUGAGGAAGACUGGACUGUUCUCACUAGGUGAGGAGGCUGAUUACCAGGCACAACAUAUGUUGCUGAUGACAAAUUGGUUGUUAGCAGUUGGUAUUCCUGCUGAAAAAAAAAAAAAAACUGCACCAUACUGUAACCCUAAAAAGGUGCAGUACAUGUAUUAAUGUAGCCUUUUUUUUUUGUCCCAAAUUUGGAAUGCCAAUGUGCUCCAAGUCCUCAUGGUGGCGUAGUGACUUGCCUCAAUCCGCUUUAUAUUGUAUUGUAUGUAGUGUAUUUGCUGUUUAAUGUAUGUUAUAAUUCUUAUUAAUCCACACCUGCUGUUGAGAGAUGUGCAAAGUUAUGAACUUAAUGUAGUUCUUUUUGUAAAGAGAUAUAUACAUAAAAUUGAAUAU